CUCAGGUAUAUCUCUGUGAUACAGGGUUACCUUCCACCAAUAGGGGGUGUCUGCAUCCAGUUAAUGGGUUUGUCGCGAUCGCUGUCUUAUGUGACCUCAUCUCAUUCUUAUCAGACUAUCACCCUCCACGGGUUCCUGAUGAAGCCGUAACGGCGAAACUAGUAGAACCUCUCUACGUGGGGUCCGAAGAAGACUAUGUGCAGUUAUUUGCACCACUAGUACUUUUUCUAUUCCUUGUCUGAAUAUUUUAAACAUAUGUCAAAGUUUCUAUAUUUUUUCUAUGUGUUUGUAAUAAAUCUUUUUUACUUAA